rnacentral:rRNA from 1 species
GACGAACGCUGGCGGCGUGCCUAAUACAUGCAAGUCGAACGCUUUUUCUUUCACCGGAGCUUGCUCCACCGAAAGAAAAAGAGUGGCGAACGGGUGAGUAACACGUGGGUAACCUGCCCAUCAGAAGGGGAUAACACUUGGAAACAGGUGCUAAUACCGUAUAACACUAUUUUCCGCAUGGAAGAAAAUUGAAAGGCGCUUUUGCGUCACUGAUGGAUGACCCGCGGUGCAUUAGCUAGUUGGUGAGGUAACGGCUCACCAAGGCAACGAUGCAUAGCCGACCUGAGAGGGUGAUCGGCCACACUGGGACUGAGACAAGGCCCAGACUCCUACGGGAGGCAGCAGUAGGGAAUCUUCGGCAAUGGACGAAAGUCUGACCGAGCAACGCCGCGUGAGUGAAGAAGGUUUUCGGAUCGUAAAACUCUGUUGUUAGAGAAGAACAAGGAUGAGAGUAAAACGUUCAUCCCUUGACGGUAUCUAACCAGAAAGCCACGGCUAACUACGUGCCAGCCGCCGCGGUAA